CGCGCAUGUUCAUUUUUCACGCACUGUGUUCAGGACAGCUUCCUUCUUCUAGAAAUUUGGGAUGGAAUCUCAUAACUGAUUGAGUCAAAGCACCAGGAAGAGGGAAUGCAAACUGCAGAGUCUCCCUGGAUGUCAUCUAUAUGAACACUCUUGCCAGCUUAGCACUAUAUUCCUGUUGGCAUCGGUGUAGCAUUUAUGAACCUGCAAAAUGCCUCUGAUGAUGAUUCGUUGCUUCACUGGCUAAAAGCAAGGUCCGGGAGACUGGGGCAUCUCCAGUUUCCACCGCAGGGUCCAGGUUGUCUAUGCUACAGUGCGAGCUCUUAGAGGACAGGACCCCAUCUUACAAGCAACAGUCAACGCUCCAGGAACACGGCGACAACUCUGCCUUCAUCAAGUUAAGAGUCAAAGAUGGGGCUGGCCCCGUGGCCGAGUGGUUAAGUUCGUGCGCUCCGCUGCA